CAGUAGCCGCGGUAAUACGUAGGGUGCAAGCGUUAAUCGGAAUUACUGGGCGUAAAGGGCGCGUAGGUGGUUAUUUAAGUGAGAUGUGAAAGCCCCGGGCUUAACCUGGGAACUGCAUCUUAUACUGGGUAACUGGAGUGCAGUAGAGGGUAGUGGAAUUUCCGGUGUAGCGGUGAAAUGCGUAGAUAUCGGAAGGAACACCAGUGGCGAAGGCGGCUACCUGGACUGAGACUGACACUGAGGCGCGAGAGCGUGGGGAGCAAACAGGAUUAGAUACCCCAGUAGUCCCUGUCUCUUAUAU
rnacentral:rRNA from 1 species